rnacentral:rRNA from 1 species
UNUGACUUGAGUGCAGAAGGGGAGAGUGGAAUUCCAUGUGUAGCGGUGAAAUGCGUAGAUAUAUGGAGGAACACCAGUGGCGAAAGCGGCUCUNUGGUCUGUCACUGACGCUGAGGCUCGAAAGCGUGGGUAGCGAACAGGAUUAGAUACCCUGGUAGUCCACGCCGUAAACGAUGAGUGCUAGGUGUUAGGCCCUUUCCGGGGCUUAAUGCCGGAGCUAACGCAAUAAGCACUCCGCCUGGGGAGUACGACCGCAAGGUUGGAACUCAAAGGAAUUGACGGGGGCCCGCACAAGCGGUGGAGCAUGUGGUUUAAUUCGAAGCAACGCGAAGAACCUUACCAGGUCUUGACAUCCCGAUGCUAUUCUUAGAGAUAGGAAGUUACUUCGGUACAUCGGAGACAGGUGGUGCAUGGUUGUCGUCAGCUCGUGUCGUGAGAUGUUGGGUUAAGUCCCGCAACGAGCGCAACCCUUAUUGUUAGUUGCCAUCAUUAAGUUGGGCACUCUAGCGAGACUGCCGGUAAUAAACCAGAGGAAGGUGGGGAUGACGUCAAAUCAUCAUGCCCCUUAUGACCUGGGCUACACACGUGCUACAAUGGUCGGUACAACGAGUUGCGAGCCGGUGACGGCAAGCUAAUCUCUGAAAGCCGAUCUCAGUUCGGAUUGGAGGCUGCAACUCGCCUCCAUGAAGUCGGAAUCGCUAGUAAUCGCGGAUCAGCACGCCGCGGUGAAUACGUUCCCGGGCCUUGUACACACCGCCCGUCACACCACGAGAGUUUGUAACACCCGAAGUCGGUGAGGUAACCUUUUAGGGGCCAGCCGCCUAAGGU